rnacentral:rRNA from 1 species
CCUACGGGAGGCAGCAGUGGGGAAUAUUGCACAAUGGGGGAAACCCUGAUGCAGCGACGCCGCGUGAGUGAAGAAGUAAUUCGUUAUGUAAAGCUCUAUCAGCAGGGAAGAAAAUGACGGUACCUGAGUAAGAAGCCCCGGCUAACUACGUGCCAGCAGCCGCGGUAAUACGUAGGGGGCAAGCGUUAUCCGGAUUUACUGGGUGUAAAGGGAGCGUAGACGGCAGUGCAAGUCUGGAGUGAAAGGCGGGGGCUCAACCCCCGGACUGCUCUGGAAACUGUACGGCUGGAGUGCAGGUGAGGUAAGUGGAAUUCCUAGUGUAGCGGGGAAAUGCGGAGAUAUUAGGAGGAACACCAGUGGCGAAGGCGGCUUACUGGACUGUAACUGACGUUGAGGCUCGAAAGCGUGGGGAGCAAACAGGAUUAGAUACCCCAGUAGUC